AUUGAACGCUGGCGGAAUGCUUUACACAUGCAAGUCGAACGGCAGCACGGACUUCGGUCUGGUGGCGAGUGGCGAACGGGUGAGUUAUGUAUCGGAACGUGCCCAGUCGUGGGGGAUAACGUAGUGAAAAUUACGCUAAUACCGCAUACGAUCUAUGGAUGAAAGCGGGGGAUUGCAAGACCUCGCGCGAUUGGAGCGGCCGAUAUCAGAUUAGGUAGUUGGUGGGGUAAAGGCCCACCAAGCCAACGAUCUGUAGCUGGUCUGAGAGGACGACCAGCCACACUGGAACUGAGACACGGUCCAGACUCCUACGGGAGGCAGCAGUGGGGAAUUUCGGACAAUGGGCGAAAGCCUGAUCCAGCCAUUCCGCGUGCAGGAUGAAGGCCCUCGGGUUGUAAACUGCUUUUGUACAGAACGAAAAGGUUUCUACUAAUACUAGGAGCUCAUGACGGUACUGUAAGAAUAAGCACCGGCUAACUACGUGCCAGCAGCCGCAGUAA
rnacentral:rRNA from 1 species